UCCAGGCAGUAAACCUAAAUAGAUCUCUGGACUCAGUGGAUGGUUCACAGGGAUGUUUAGAUACCAAGACUUAGAGUGCAGGAACUUGAACUUGAGUUUUCCGGUAUUAAGAGAAAGGCAGGGUGGCAAAUAUUUUAGUCAAGAAGUACUAUGCAGAAAUGGGAGAAUAUCCUAGUCUAUCCUGGCAGUAAAAUGUGCUACUGAAAAUGUGAUCAGAUGGCAAGAGUGUGCAGCUUCAGGUAGUGAGCUGUGUCUUCAACUUCAUGAUUGCUCUAAGAGUGCUUAUACUCUUCUCAGAAAAAUGAGACUUCACACACCUCCAGCUGUCCAUAUCCCCCAGGUGGACCAGCUGACACUGGCAACGAUGAUGAGUCACAGACAGACUGGAUCCCAAGGAUCUGCUUUUUUGGAGGAGGAAGGAGUCAGGCUGCUUAGCACUGCAGGAAAGCUAGUGCCUUGUCUGAUGUCUCACAGUAAGACACAAGAAAGAGAAUUCUGUGGAGGCUUCUUUUUCAGCUGAUCACUAGUGAGCCGACAGGUAAUUUCUAAUUAAUACUCGUCAAAUUAAACCAAGUUAGUCUGACCAAGAUGGGAGGAGAUAUGAUAUCAGAAGCUGAUCUGCCAUCCAGGAUUUUAAUUUUCUGGGACAACUGUAAGGCUCUCCUAUGUUCUGAUAGCCUCAUCAGACUCUUAAAUGCUUUAAUAUAAAAUGGGACUUUGC
rnacentral:lncRNA from 1 species